UGGGGAAUCUUCCGCAAUGGGCGCAAGCCUGACGGAGCAACGCCGCGUGAGUGAAGAAGGGUUUCGACUCGUAAAGCUCUGUUGUCGGGGACGAAUGUGGAGGUUGUGAAUAACAGCUUCCAAUGACGGUACCUGACGAGGAAGCCACGGCUAACUACGUGCCAGCAGCCGCGGUAAUACGUAGGUGGCGAGCGUUGUCCGGAAUUAUUGGGCGUAAAGGGAGCGCAGGCGGGAGAUCAAGUCUAUCUUAAAAGUGCGGGGCUCAACCCCGUGAGGGGAUGGAAACUGGUCUUCUUGAGUGCAGGAGAGGAAAGCGGAAUUCCUAGUGUAGCGGUGAAAUGCGUAGAUAUUAGGAAGAACA
rnacentral:rRNA from 1 species